rnacentral:rRNA from 1 species
GACGAACGCUGGCGGCGUGCCUAAUACAUGCAAGUAGAACGCUGAAGGAGGAGCUUGCUUCUCUGGAUGAGUUGCGAACGGGUGAGUAACGCGUAGGUAACCUGCCUGGUAGCGGGGGAUAACUAUUGGAAACGAUAGCUAAUACCGCAUAAUAGUAGAUGUUGCAUGACAUUUACUUAAAAGGUGCAAUUGCAUCACUACCAGAUGGACCUGCGUUGUAUUAGCUAGUUGGUGGGGUAACGGCUCACCAAGGCGACGAUACAUAGCCGACCGGAGAGGGUGAUCGGCCACACUGGGACGGAGACACGGCCCAGACUCCUACGGGAGGCAGCAGUAGGGAAUCUUCGGCAAUGGACGAAAGUCUGACCGAGCAACGCCGCGUGAGUGAAGAAGGUUUUCGGAUCGUAAAGCUCUGUUGUAAGAGAAGAACGAGUGUGAGAGUGGAAAGUUCACACUGUGACGGUAUCUUACCAGAAAGGGACGGCUAACUACGUG